rnacentral:rRNA from 1 species
GACGAACGCUGGCGGCGUGCUUAACACAUGCAAGUCGAACGGAAAGGCCCUGCUUUUGUGGGGUGCUCGAGUGGCGAACGGGUGAGUAACACGUGAGUAACCUGCCCUUGACUUUGGGAUAACUUCAGGAAACUGGGGCUAAUACCGGAUAGGAGCUCCUGCUGCAUGGUGUGGGUUGGAAAGUUUCGGCGGUUGGGGAUGGACUCGCGGCUUAUCAGCUUGUUUGUGGGGUAGUGGCUUACCAAGGCUUUGACGGGUAGCCGGCCUGAGAGGGUGACCGGCCACAAUGGGACUGAGAUACGGCCCAGACUCCUACGGGAGGCAGCAGUGGGGUAUAUUGCACAAUGGGCGGAAGCCUGAUGCAGCAACGCCGCGUGCGGGAUGACGGCCUUCGGGUUGUAAACCGCUUUCGCCUGUGACGAAGCGUGAGUGACGGUAAUGGGUAAAGAAGCACCGGCUAACUACGUG